UACGUAGGGUGCAAGCGUUGUUCGGAAUUACUGGGCGUAAAGGGCUCGUAGGCGGCCAACUAAGUCAUACGUGAAAUCCCUCAGCUUAACUGGGGAACUGCGUGUGAUACUGGAUGGCUUGGAUUUGGGAGAGGGAUGCGGAAUUCCAGGUGUAGCGGUGAAAUGCGUAGAUAUCUGGAGGAAUACCGGUGGCGAAGGCGGCAUCCUGGACCGGCAUUGACGCUGAGGAGCGAAAGCCAGGGGAGCAAACGGGG
rnacentral:rRNA from 1 species